UGGGGAAUAUUGCACAAUGGGCGCAAGCCUGAUGCAGCCAUGCCGCGUGUGUGAAGAAGGCCUUGGGUUGUAAAGCACUUUCAGCGGGGAGGAAGGCGGUGAGGUUAAUAACCUUGUCGAUUGACGUUACCCGCAGAAGAAGCACCGGCUAACUCCGUACCAG
rnacentral:rRNA from 1 species